AUCACUUCUUGGCCUUUUGGCUAAGAUCAAGUGUAGUUCCUAUCAGCUUAAUGUCUGAUACAUCCUCUAUCCGAGGACAAUAUAUUAAAUGGAUUUUUGGAAGCAGGAGUCGGAGUAGGAACGUGCUCUAUCCACUCCACACAUCAAGCUGGUAUUGCAGUACCUGCAGGAACGGUGCAUCCAAA
ensembl:snRNA U2 U2 spliceosomal RNA